AAAUUUUUAUGGUAUCAACCUUACUGUAUGGGCUAGAUAUCCACCAAAUUUGAGCUCAGUUUGACAACGUUUACUAUUUUUCAAAAAUCAAUGUUUCCGAUUGCUCAAAACUGCCGAUUAUGGUAGACCGUGGUAAAAACGCCAUAUCUCCCAAACCACUUGGAGUUUCUGACUCUACUUUUUUUUAAAUGAAACUAGACUCACAAUACCUUUCUUUUGGUAUGAGUCUGGAGUCCAGGGGAUGUCGGAGUCAGAAUGUGUUAAAGUUUGAAGUCGAGUCUGUGUAAAAACAGAACAUGUCUUGAUGAUGUUUGAUGGUAUUUUCUUAUGUGCCUUAUGUGAUUGUGUUGCCUAAGUGUUUGAAUGAGAUUAGACGAGUCUUAUAUGAGAGAUGAAUCGAGACCUAGAACCAUGAUUUUCU
rnacentral:lncRNA from 1 species